rnacentral:rRNA from 1 species
UACGUAGGCAGCGAGCGUUGUUCGGAAUUACUGGGCGUAAAGAGUGUGUAGGCGGUGCUCUAAGUUCGGUGUGAAAUCUCCAGGCUCAACUUGGAGUCUGCACGAGAAACUGCCGGGCUUGAGUGUGGGAGAGGUGAGUGGAAUUCCUGGUGUAGCGGUGAAAUGCGUAGAUAUCAGGAGGAACACCUGUGGCGAAAGCGGCUCACUGGACCACAACUGACGCUGAUGCACGAAAGCUAGGGGAGCAAACAGG